CGUCAAAUCAUCAUGCCCCUUAUGACCUGGGCUACACACGUGCUACAAUGGAUGGUACAAAGAGCAGCAAACCCGCGAGGGCUAGCAAAUCUCAUAAAGCCAUUCUCAGUUCGGAUUGCAGGCUGCAACUCGCCUGCAUGAAGCCGGAAUCGCUAGUAAUCGCGGAUCAGCAUGCCGCGGUGAAUACGUUCCCGGGCCUU
rnacentral:rRNA from 1 species